GGAAUCGAGAUAUGAUGUUCCGUUUCUGUCAUGAUUUUUGAUCCCUCUCUCUUAAUGUUACUGCUCUUUGAUAUUCGUUUGACCCGUGAUCCUGAUGCUUUUCACAAUCGUAAAAUACACCAGUCGAGUUUACAUGGGUGGUCAAGGCGAAAAACCAAGUUGUAGCAGGAAUGAUGCAUCAUCUGACCCAGGAGUGAAGCCAUGGUUGACCUUCAAAGAGUUGCAGGAAUUCAAGCCCCUACCAUUCAUCUUUCCGUUCUUGGCUGGAAAAAAGGAUGGCCAUGAAUCUGGAUAGAGGGAAGUUCCAGGAGAUGAUCAAGAAGUGCAAUACGUUUCUUUUGAUCAUGUCAAGACCAUCUAACAAAGAUCUAACUCAUUGUUCCCUUAUGAACUUCACGAGAUUGUGCAUAGUACUUUAGUACAUUUGUAGCGCAAAGUUCUUAUCAAGAAUAAUAGAAGUUUGUUUUGAUCAAAAAAGAAAAGAAAAGAAAGAAUAAUAGAAGUUUGUACGUCACUGAACACCUCUAAAACUCAA